UACGGAGGGGGCUAGCGUUGUUCGGAAUUACUGGGCGUAAAGGGCUCGUAGGCGGCCAACUAAGUCGGAUGUGAAAUCCCCAGGCUCAACUUGGGAACUGCAUCCGAUACUGGAUGGCUUGAAUUCGGGAGAGGGAUGCAGAAUUCCAGGUGUAGCGGUGAAAUGCGUAGAUAUCCGAAGGAACAUCAGUGGCGAAAGCGGCUUCCUGGACCAGAACUGACGAUCAGGCUCGAAAGCGUGGGGAGCAAACAGG
rnacentral:rRNA from 1 species